rnacentral:sRNA from 1 species
UGUCUGAAAGAAAAUAUGGUGUGUCUAAACUGGAAAAGUCCUGUAAUACUUUGUUCAUAAGCAUUUACACAAUGGAGUUACUGUUCAUCAUGGGGGUACUGUGGACAAGCCCAGGGCUGCUGUAGAGACAGAGUUUUUCCAUGUAGGCCAGGCUGGCCUCAAACUCCUGACCUCAAGUGAUCCACCUGCCUCCCAAAGUGGGAUUACAGAUACAUGAAGUUAUGAAUUUAAGAUGUGAAGAUUUACAGCUUGAUAAACCAGCUUCAGGAGACAUGAUCUUAUGAAUUCAACACAUGAAGAUUUACAACUUGAUAAACCAGCUUCAGGAGAUCAGAACUUCUUACAAUACAGCUGACGUUACUCAGCCUAGAACAAAUACAACAGGGAUUGUGCUGCAUUCUGACUUGGAUUCUGCCAUCGAACACAGAAUGCCCUGAUUCUUAGAUGCAGAGGCAGCUCUUCAGCCUAUGGGGGUUGCUGUAAAAUAUUACAGGCAU